rnacentral:rRNA from 1 species
UACGGGGGGAGCGAGCGUUGUUCGGAAUUACUGGGCGUAAAGGGCGCGCAGGCGGUUGGAUAAGAGAGUGGUGAAAACCCCGGGCUCAACCUGGGGCCGGCCAUUCAGACUGUCUGGCUGGAGUGUGGGAGAGGGAAGUGGAAUUCCUGGUGUAGCGGUGAAAUGCGUAGAUAUCAGGAGGAACACCGGUGGCGAAGGCGGCUUCCUGGACCACAACUGACGCUGAGGCGCGAAAGCCAGGGGAGCAAACAGG